rnacentral:lncRNA from 1 species
CGAUUAACACCAAACCAUCAUGUUUAGUAAUUUGUAAUUAUCGUUCAUCUUAGAAACAGAUGUUAUGCACAUUAAAUUUUAACAUUAUCUAAAUACGAAUAAUUUAGACUAGUAGUCCUCAAAGUAUGGUGCGCACACUCUGGGUGCAUAAGAAAUUUUUAGGGAUAUGCGUUUAUUUUUUUUAUUUUUUGCUCUUAGAGUUUUCCUUCUAGUAAUUUUAUCCCAUAACCUGGUAAUGAUAUCCUCGUUAUAUCCAUUACUAACUGCUUGUUCCUUAAUCCAUUCAAGCUCUUCAUUCAUACUAGCUGUUGUGCAAUGGAUCAUAAUUCUCUGUAGGAAUCCCACCUCCUUUCUGGGUGUAUAUGAAAUCCCAGCUCUGGAUGGUGAUUUCAAGCAGGAUAUUGAAUGUAUGGGAUGUGCUGCAGGAUCUCUUGGGAGGGGAGUUCAGGAGCAUAAGCGGG